UAAAUGUAAUCUCUAUCGCUGCUGCCUGACAACAUCCCACCAGAUUACACACACACGUGUCAAGGACUUCUCAUCUGGGGGGGGUACAUGUACAGUAGCUGCUGCACAUCAAGUCCUGUUGUUUGGUGU